CCUACGGGCGGCAGCAGUGAGGAAUAUUGGUCAAUGGGCGCGAGCCUGAACCAGCCAAGUAGCGUGAAGGAUGACUGCCCUACGGGUUGUAAACUUCUUUUAUAAAGGAAUAAAGUGAGGCACGUGUGCCUUUUUGUAUGUACUUUAUGAAUAAGGAUCGGCCAACUCCGUGCCAGCAGCCGCGGUAAUACGGAGGAUCCGAGCGUUAUCCGGAUUUAUUGGGUUUAAAGGGAGCGUAGAUGGGUUGUUAAGUCAGUUGUGAAAGUUUGCGGCUCAACCGUAAAAGUGCAAUUGAUACUGGCAGCCUUGAGUGCGGUUGAGGUAGGCGGAAUUCGUGGUGUAGCGGUGAAAUGCUUAGAUAUCACGAAGAACUCCGAUUGCGAAGGCAGCUUACUAGACUGCCACUGACAUUGAUGCUCGAAAGUGUGGGUAUCAAACAGGAUUAGAUACCCCGGUAGUC
rnacentral:rRNA from 1 species